rnacentral:rRNA from 1 species
AGUGAACGCUGGCGGUAGGCCUAACACAUGCAAGUCGAACGGCAGCACAGUAAGAGCUUGCUCUUACGGGUGGCGAGUGGCGGACGGGUGAGGAAUACAUCGGAAUCUACUUUUUCGUGGGGGAUAACGUAGGGAAACUUACGCUAAUACCGCAUACGACCUACGGGUGAAAGCAGGGGAUCUUCGGACCUUGCGCGAUUGAAUGAGCAGAUGUCGGAUUAGCUAGUUGGCGGGGUAAAGGCCCACCAAGGCGACGAUCCGUAGCUGGUCUGAGAGGAUGAUCAGCCACACUGGAACUGAGACACGGUCCAGACUCCUACGGGAGGCUGCAGUGGGGAAUAUUGGACAAUGGGCGCAAGCCUGAUCCAGCCAUACCGCGUGGGUGAAGAAGGCCUUCGGGUUGUAAAGCCCUUUUGUUGGGAAAGAAAAGCAGCAGGUUAAUACCCCGCUGUUCUGACGGUACCCAAAGAAUAAGCACCGGCUAACUUCGUG